AUGUGGGGGCAACGCACCAUUCAAGAACUCAGUUCUCUGCUUUUCAAAGCAGACACCUGAACCAUCUUAUCUGAUGGUCACAAUAACCUUAUGAGAAGGCAAGCAUCGCCACCCCCAUUUUCCAGAUAAGGGAACAAGAACUAGCCUAAGAGCACACCCCGAAACGGAGACCAAGAGCAGCAACAACAUGGGGUCCGCAGACAUCUAGUUCAGGGCCCCCACCAGGCUUCUGAGAAUACCACCAAUUCCAACCAGCUGGCCGCCAGCCAUUCCCAAACCAGGAUCUCAUCUCCGACACUGCAUCAGCCCCAGUAGUACUCCAGUGAUAAAUGAAGACCCACAGACAAAGAGAAGCCUACUGCUUUUCUUAAUCACUUUGUUUCGUUCUCCAUGAAAUGUAAAACUGAACUUUAUUUGCAUGCAUCAUGUCCCCAGCAUGCCCCCAGUGCAGAAUGUUAAAACCUCAUCUCUAAUUGAGAUGGGACCACAUCGGUUCUAAGCAAGUUCAGGAAGGGAAGGAGGCCAUGGUUUCGAAGGGGAAGCCAAGGGAAACGAAAACAAUGCCUCUCAAAGAGAUGUCAACACGUCUGCAAAAGAAAAUGAAUUCCAACCAUGAUAAAGGUACUUAGUUUUCACAUCCUUGUGGAUUUUAAAUCCAAGGCAAGAAAAUAAAACUCUAGAAGACGUAGCUAAUCCCGGAAUAAAAGCACAGUCAGAUGUCUGGAGGGUGAGUCAGACUUCCAGGUAACUGUCAAACACUUAGUCUUUUGUGAAAAGAUGGAAGAAAGACUCACAGACCACCGUUUUCUCCAUCUUGAACUUUUCCUGAUCCCAAGAACAGAAGAAAACAGCUGAGGGGAACCAAGAUUGUAAAAGAAACACACUGAAGAGGAAACGUGUACCUAUGAUGAUUUUACUAAAAUUAAUAAAUCUGAUGAUCUUU